UCGGCUUAGAGUUUGAUCAUGGCUCAGGAUGAACGCUGGCGGCGUGCCUAAUACAUGCAAGUCGAGCGAAAAGGAGCUUGCUCCUUUUAGCGGCGGACGGGUGAGUAACACGUGGGUAACCUACCUAUAAGACUGGGAUAACUUCGGGAAACCGGAGCUAAUACCGGAUAACAUUUAGACCGCAUGGUUCUAAAGGAAAGAUGUUUGUAUCACUUAUAGAUGGACCCGCGCCGUAUUAGCUAGUUGGUAAGGUAACGGCUUACCAAGGCGACGAUACGUAGCCGACCUGAGAGGGUGAUCGGCCACACUGGAACUGAGACACGGUCCAGACUCCUACGGGAGGCAGCAGUAGGGAAUCUUCCGCAAUGGGCGAAAGCCUGACGGAGCAACGCCGCGUGAGUGAUGAAGGGUUUCGGCUCGUAAAACUCUGUUAUUAGGGAAGAACAAAUGUGUAGUAAUGCACAUCUUGACGGUACCUAAUCAGAAAGCCACGGCUAACUACGUGCCAGCAGCCGCGGUAAUACGUAGGUGGCAAGCGUUAUCCGGAAUUAUUGGGCGUAAAGCGCGCGUAGGCGGUUUCUUAAGUCUGAUGUGAAAGCCCACGGCUCAACCGUGGAGGGUCAUUGGAAACUGGGAAACUUGAGUGCAGAAGAGGAAAGUGGAAUUCCAUGUGUAGCGGUGAAAUGCGCAGAGAUAUGGAGGAACACCAGUGGCGAAGGCGACUUUCUGGUCUGUAACUGACGCUGAUGUGCGAAAGCGUGGGGAUC
rnacentral:rRNA from 1 species